GGGGAUUUAGCUCAGUUGCAUAAGUACCUGCCUUGGAAGCAGGCAGCCGUGGGUUCAAUCCCCA
rfam:Cavia porcellus supercont2_36 genomic scaffold, whole genome shotgun sequence.